GACAGAGGGUGCAAACGUUGCUCGGAAUUACUGGGCGUAAAGCGCGUGUAGGCGGACCCGCAAGUCGGACGUGAAAUCCCUGAGCUCAUCUCAGGAACUGCAUCCGAAACUGCGGGUCUGGAGUGGUGGAGAGGGAAGCAGAAUUCCUGGUGUAGAGGUGAAAUUCGUAGAUAUCAGGAGGAACACCGGUGGCGAAGGCGGCUUCCUGGACACUUACUGACGCUGAGACGCGAAAGCGUGGGGAGCAAACAGG
rnacentral:rRNA from 1 species